rnacentral:rRNA from 1 species
GACGAACGCUGGCGGCGUGCUUAACACAUGCAAGUCGAACGGAAAGGCUCCAGCUUGCUGGAGUACUCGAGUGGCGAACGGGUGAGUAACACGUGGGUAAUCUGCCCUGCACUCUGGGAUAAGCCUGGGAAACUGGGUCUAAUACUGGAUAUGACCUUUCUCCUUAUGGGGUUUGGUGGAAAGUUUUUCGGUGUAGGAUGAGCCCGCGGCCUAUCAGCUUGUUGGUGGGGUGAUGGCCUACCAAGGCGACGACGGGUAGCCGGCCUGAGAGGGUGAUCGGCCACAUUGGGACUGAGAUACGGCCCAGAAUCCUACGGGAGGCAGCAGUGGGGAAUAUUGCACAAUGGGCGGAAGCCUGAUGCAGCGACGCCGCGUGAGGGAUGACGGCCUUCGGGUUGUAAACCUCUUUCAGCAGGGACGAAGCGUAAGUGACGGUACCUGCAGAAGAAGCACCGGCUAACUACGUG